GGAAAUCCCUGAAAAACCAGAUGGCAGAAGUUACUCAGAAGAAAUGAAAGGAUUUUCCAUUAUUCAAAUAGGAGGUGGAAGAGGAAGUGUGGGAGUAAUUACUGGAUUAAGAUCACUGAAAGACAAGAUUGUCUUUAAGGAAACAGAAGACUGAGAAGAAAAGAAGCUUGCUCAAGGUCACAUAGAGCUGGAAUUUAAAUUCAGAUC
rnacentral:lncRNA from 1 species